ensembl:snoRNA
UUGAUACAGUGAUGAUCACAUAGUUCAGCUGAGUGUGUGUGAUGAAAACCCUUUAGUCUUUCGCUCCUAUCUGAUGUAUCAA